GGGCGGGUGGUGGAACAGGUAGACACCGCGGACUUAAAAUCCGCUGCCUCCCCGAGGCGUGUGGGUUCGAGUCCCACCCCGCCCACCA
rnacentral:tRNA from 1 species